AGUAUUGGAGUUGUUGUGCCUUGAAGCUAGAAACUGCCUUGAAUUUCUACAUAGGGAAAUGUAAUCUAUUGCUUUCUUACAGGUAUCCUGUAAGAACAAAUUGCUGCCUCCUCCAGGUGGAAAGGGAUCAAAUAUAAUUAAUCUGUGUGUGCCACACAGUAGCUUGAUAGUUUAAUUGAGGAAUGUUGACAUAUUGAGAGCUCAGCAUUACUUUCUGCUAUCAGCAGUGACGCAUUUACUGAUCACCUACUCUGAGAAAUCACUCUCUAAACUCUGGGGAUGCAGUUCUGAGGAGGAUACAGUUCUGUCUUCAGAAAAUGCUGAUGGAAAUAAUUUUAAUGAACAGUAAUGGUAAAAGGAGAUAAACGAAAACAGAAUCAAUGUGUGCAAAGUGACAGAAGCAUAAGAGCUGUAUCCUAACUGCACUGCUGAAUUUGGGCUUCCUGUGGGGGCACGGCAAGUGCCCUCUUUGAGAGUGAGGAGGCUGAGAGUCUCACACCAACAGGAAUGAGUGCUUUGAAAUUAACUGGUGUUUGGAAAUUGAUCUGCUGACUGAGCUGGGCUCUCAAGCUCUUCUCGACAACCAUGUAAGAAGCGAUGACAAUUGUACUACUUCAUAACAGCUGCAUGGAACUCUGACACACACUUCACAGCAACCAGUCAUCUAUAUAAACCAAUUUCAGGAGCAAAAUUGCAUGGUGCCUCCACUCUGUUAUAAACACAAUGAUAUCCACUCAAAGCUGAUAAAUGCACUACAUUUCUCUGCAGCUUAAAAGAAUAAGUUCCUUGCAUCUGAGAUUUCCUUCCCACAAAUUAAGUCAUUUUUUUUGUCCUAGCCAUUAAUUUAAAACUUUAGAAAGAACAAGACCAUUUAGAUUUUGAAUACCCGUAAAAUAAAGAAAUUUCAGUCUUAACAUUUUGGUUCUCCAACUAAAUACACUUUCAAUUUUUUUUGGAAUAUCUCUGCCAGACUUUCCUAAUUGAUGAUCUGAAGGAGAAAGCAAAAGGAAGAAGUAAUUAAGGUUUAAAAUACUUACCACUGCCAUAGCAAUUCACCAGUUAAUUACAAUAUCUUUUCAU
rnacentral:lncRNA from 1 species